rnacentral:rRNA from 1 species
AUUGAACGUUGGCGGCAGGCCUAACACAUGCAAGUCGAACGGUAGCACAGAGAGCUUGCUCUCGGGUGACGAGUGGCGGACGGGUGAGUAAUGUCUGGGAAACUGCCUGAUGGAGGGGGAUAACUACUGGAAACGGUAGCUAAUACCGCAUAAUGUGGCAAGACCAAAGAGGGGGCCCUUCGGGCCUCUUGCCAUCGGAUGUGCCAGGAUGGGAUUAGCUAGUAGGUGGGGUAAUGGCUCACCUAGGCGACGAUCCCUAGCUGGUCUGAGAGGAUGACCAGCCACACUGGAACUGAGACACGGUCCAGACUCCUACGGGAGGCAGCAGUGGGGAAUAUUGCACAAUGGGCGCAAGCCUGGUGCAGCCAUGCCGCGUGUAUGAAGAAGGCCUUCGGGUUGUAAAGUACUUUCAGCGAGGAGGAAGGCAUUGUGGUUAAUAACCACAGUGAUUGACGUUACUCGCAGAAGAAGCACCGGCUAACUCCGUGCCAGCAGCCGCAGUAA